UUCACAAUCUAUAUAUACUAUGUCACACACAAAGGCCAAAUAUAAUCCUAGAAGUAGCAGAUUUGAAAAUAUUUCUAUUGCACAUAAUAUCAUGUAUCAAGCACCAAACACCAAGGAACUGCUUGGUAUUGAAAUCAUGUAUCUUGUACCAGGGAACUGUUUUGUCCAUCACAUGAGUUUGUCGAAAUAAAUACGACAAAACUGUCCUCUUGCUAAGGUAGUUAACAGCACAGGAGUACAUGGUGAAACGAGUGAAUUCAGAUGAGCUUCUUCUUCUGGAAGAAGCCUUGCAAAUGCCAUAGCUGCAGAGCGGAGACCACAAUGCACACGCCCAGUGACAAGAUGCUGAACCAGGCAACCCUGGAAUUCGUUUUCUCGCUCACUUCCCGCAUCUCCGCUUCCCUGCAUAAACACAUCAAGAUCACGCAUUAUGCUAUGCAUUGCCAGUUCCAAAUAUUAUAUUGUAGUAAAGAUAAGUAAAGCUAGUAGGUUUGCUUGUCCAUAUCCCAAGAACUGUAAGACCACCUAAGAACUUCAAAUAGCAGCUCAAUCUACAGCCCAAGACAGAUGAGACCCGUAGGUUCUGUUUCACAAAUCACAAUGCUGUAGUUUCAUAGUCACCAACUUUUAUAUGUAACAGUUAGUUCAAAGUAUAUUUAUAUUUAGCCUAUAUAAAAACAUCCAACUGGAAAUAGUACAGACUACAGACUCCCCUACCUAAAUAGACUGGUGCAACGUAGCACAACGACCACAAUCUGUUGUCUGGCUAUUAAAACACACACAAAAAGUAGAAUAGAUAACUUGCCUUGCUUUGAGAUAUAAUAAGUUAUGAUGAAUGGAUUCCACUGCAGCUUCAAGUUUCGCGAGCUCUAAUUCAACACCCUGAACACAGAAAUUUCAGAUUAAAAUAAUCAGGAACAAAAAACAAUGCAUUACAUUGAAGUAUAGUGCCAUUUGGACUAGGUGUAUUUAAAUAAUUGGCACACCUCAAUCUUCUCCUUCUUGGCAACAGAGUCCCAGUCCUUUGUCGCAAUCCCUAUCUUCCAAUCAAGAUUUAGAGAUACUCCUGAUCCUUUCUCUGCGCUGUCUAGCCAGAAGCAAGCAAGGUAGUUUCCAGCUUCUGAAGUUGUAAAUGCAAACUGGCCCACUGUGGCAUUUUCUUUGUGAUGUACAGUAUUGCCAUAUGGUGAGGUAAC
rnacentral:lncRNA from 1 species